UUGAUCAACAGAUUUACCAAA
ensembl:piRNA 21ur-5403 ncRNA